rnacentral:tRNA from 1 species
UCCCUUGUAGCUCAGUUGGUAAAGAAUCUGCCUGCAAUGCAGGAGACCCAGGUUCGAUUUCUGGGUUGGGAA